rnacentral:rRNA from 1 species
ACGUUAGCGGCGGACGGGUGAGUAACACGUGGGUAACCUACCUAUAAGACUGGGAUAACUUCGGGAAACCGGAGCUAAUACCGGAUAAUAUUUCGAACCGCAUGGUUCGAUAGUGAAAGGUGGUUUUGCUAUCACUUAUAGAUGGACCCGCGCCGUAUUAGCUAGUUGGUAAGGUAACGGCUUACCAAGGCGACGAUACGUAGCCGACCUGAGAGGGUGAUCGGCCACACUGGAACUGAGACACGGUCCAGACUCCUACGGGAGGCAGCAGNG